GUUGGGGUGGCAGAGCUCGGCAAAUGCAAAAGACCUAAGCCCUUUUUACAGAGGUUCAAGUCCUCUCCUUAACU
rnacentral:tRNA from 1 species